UAAUACGAAGGGACCUAGCGUAGUUCGGAAUUACUGGGCUUAAAGAGUUCGUAGGUGGUUGAAAAAGUUAGUGGUGAAAUCCCAGAGCUUAACUCUGGAACUGCCAUUAAAACUUUUCAGCUAGAGUAUGAUAGAGGAAAGCAGAAUUUCUAGUGUAGAGGUGAAAUUCGUAGAUAUUAGAAAGAAUACCAAUUGCGAAGGCAGCUUUCUGGAUCAUUACUGACACUGAGGAACGAAAGCAUGGGUAGCGAAGAGGAUUAGAUACCCUCGUAGUCCAUGCCGUAAACGAUGUGUGUUAGACGUUGGAAAUUUAUUUUCAGUGUCGCAGGGAAACCGAUAAACACACCGCCUGGGGAGUACGACCGCAAGGUUA
rnacentral:rRNA from 1 species